GACGGAGGAGGCAAGCGUUAUCCGGAAUUACUGGGCGUAAAGCGUCCGUAGGUGGCUGAGCAAGUCUGUGGUCAAAGCUCGGGGCCCAACCCUGAAUCGGCCAUGGAAACUGUUGAGCUAGAGUGCGGUAGGGGUAGCGGGAAUUCCCGGUGUAGCGGUGAAAUGCGUAGAUAUCGGGAAGAACACCAGUGACGGAAGUGCGCUACUGGGCCUGCACUGACACUGAGGGCCGAAAGCCAGGGGAGCGAAUGGG
rnacentral:rRNA from 1 species